GGGACACGUUGUAAAGAACGUGCUUUAAAUUCGUUUUAAUGCCUGCGAAUUGAUCAGUAUAACAACAGUCGUGUAAUUAUUUAUUUGUAUGUAAAAAUGACGCUGUCCGUUUUUAUCAUUUUCUUCGGCGAACCGAAAAUCUACUACCUACGAAAAAAUAAAUAAGUCAAGAGGAAAUUAUUGACCGCUUCAGUGCAUGGGUUAAAAUUAUAACAAUGAACAAAAGUGUAUCAUUAUCUAUAAGAAUAUGCUCAUUAUACUUUACAAAAAGAAGAUUUUGUUCCAUCAAGUGCUUGAGUUUUGCGCGUGAGUCAAAAAUGCAUGUAGGUGUUGCGAAUCACAGAUGCUGAUCUAAAAAAGAAUGAUGCUUUUGUAUUAAAACGAGGAAGAAAUUAAAACAUAUCUUAAGGAAGAGAAAGUUUCAAAGGAACGUAAUAGAAUUUUCAGAUACAGAUAAAUAUAGUGAGUAGCAAAAUACAGUGUCCUCUAAGUUAAUUUAGCGACAGUGAAAUAUUCCACCUAGAAAAGCUGUUCAAAGUUCAAAUUUUCAAUCUCGUUUAAAAAAAGGAAACAGUAUUAAUAUUAUUCCAGUGAAAUGGUAUGAUGCCUAUUCCCGUGACCUUGAGCUCCAUACGAAGGCAGGAAACCGUAUGACAAGUAUUCGCUUUCUUCUUAAACAUGUUUUUUUCAAGAUUCAAUGGAAUUUGUAUAUUUUUAAUGUAUGUAUAUAAUACACUAAUAUGGACACUAUGUUUCAGGAGAUAAUUACAUUUGUAUAAAUAAUUAAUUUAUAUUAUGUGUCAGGUUCUAUCAGACAGUGAGAAACUAUAAAAUAUAGUACUCAUCGAAACUUUUUGUGAAAAAAUUAUUUACCAUUGCAGUAUAUUAAAGUCUUUUCAUACUCUCUUCUUUCUUUUUAGUUUUCUGCCUUCCUGAAGUGCUGAAGUGAAUAACUAAUAAAUAAUAUAAUAGAAAGUUAAUCUACUAGUGUUAAAUACGAAUUCUUUAAGAAAAGGGAGGAAGGAAUAAUUUUGAGCCAACGUCAUACCUAUUUUGAUCCUUGAAAGAUGUGAAGAUAAAUAGAGCAUUAAUUAGGUCUGUCUUGUUUAAUAAAUUAACAUCUUAAUGGGAUGUGAAGGUUACGCUACCUCAAAGUGAUAACCGAUAUCCUCACCCAGAGAACACUGUAUUAAUCCUUUCGCUAUGGAAGCUUGCCUACGAAAUUAUAAUGGAUCUGGCACAAAUGUUCAAUUAAUUAAAGCGUGCUGAAUUAAUCAGAACGUUUUAUAUAAUCGAAUGACCGUUUCACAUUAAUCACACGAUUAUUAACUUUUAUAAUCUUCUUGCAACGACUAAAAAUAAAUUUUUGUACAGAAAGUGUAAUUCAAAAAUUCCUUAACUUCGAUAUCAAAAUACGUAAUUAAUUCAUGUUUAAUUACUCGACCAAAUUUCGACGGAAAUAAUCAAUUUGAUCGCUGAGUGAAUCGGUUGAAAACAGAUUCGUUUGUUAGUUAUACAUUUUCAUAAUAUUGAUUUAACAUUUAAUUUACAGUUUAUUUAAAUACCACCAAACUUUUCUUCGCUCUAUCUAUUAAAAGGCGUAGCUACUAUCGCUCGAAAGUAUUCCACAUAAUUUAACUACAACAUUACACGCAGUUGGCAGAGAUUUCGUCUCGAGUACGGCAAAGCUACCUAUAUUCAAAUUAUUUAAUAAGAAGAACAAAGGGUUCUAAUAUUGGGUUCACGAAAUUUUCAAAUGACAGACAAUCACGUGUUUGAUAUUCCGUCUGCUGUUGCGGUUCGUGUAAAAAUUAUAUGUUGUUUAUUUAUAAUUUUAUCGUAAAUUAUUUCAUAAAAUGGUAAAUUAUUCGUUUGGCAAAUUAACAGUAAGAAUUGUACCAGUGUCUAUAUAUACUUGUACAAACGAUUAUUCCUAUUACUCGAAUAAUUCUGCGGUCAUUAUUCGAAUAGAUGUAUGAAACAAUUGAUCACGGAUAAUUACUUCACUGACAAAAUACUCCACUACUAUGAAUUAAUUCCGAUAGUCUUGGAUAAAUAUUUAUUUGAAACAAUUCGAAUAAUGAAUGAACAAUUCGCCCGACUCGGUAACUGUAGAAUUAAUAAUUUAAUUUAAAACGUAACUGGAGAAUUAAUAAAGUUGUACUGUUAUCAGCAACCUACCAAACUAUCCAGAUAUUUCCGAGCGAUAGUGUACAGAAGAAUUUCCGGUUUAACCGUUUGCUGGCCAACUCCGCCGUAGCGGAAGUGUUAAAGGUAACAAUAAAUAGAAAACUAAGGAGAAAAUAAACACGUAUUGAGUGAAGGAAUAAAUAUGUAAGUGCAAGAACCAUGGCCCAACGAGAACAAGCACAAACAGUAAAUAAUGUACAGUAAAUAAAUACAGAGUAAACAACUGUGAAAGUAGAUAAAUUGCUGUGAACGAUAAGAACUAAUACGCAGCAAGGUUUUGCAUGACAAAUAUUUCACUCGAUUCGCUUCCGACGUCAUCGGCGCAGAUGCGGACGCAAGAAGUUGAAGAAAAUUAGUAUUUCAAAGUGUUAGAGGAUGCAAAGACACGAACGCGAGACUCGAGCAACUUGAAUCAAUAAAUUAUUACAGCUCUUUAAGACAAGCGGAUGAGAAAAGAAUGUGGAGGACAGGGAACUGCCUUUAAUUAAGAAUGAUAAAAAAGAAAAUAAUUUCUGGAAUAAUUUGGAGUAAAACAGCCCCAGGGCGUAUGAUAUUAACAAUUAGCAAGCGCAGAAAAAGAUUCAGUGAAAAUAAACAGGAGCAAAGCGAAGGAGGAAAACGACACGGUCAUUUGAAAUUACUGCAGUCGUAUAAAAAGUCUGGGCUGAGACUGGGUUGAAUGAAUGAUGCGAGCUUAAAUGAAAUGAACGAGGAGAAAAAAUAUAAGAACAAUGGAAAUUUACCACGCCGUCGGAAGAGGACUCCUCGAAACCACGGAAAGCAGGCAUCGCAGCAGGAGGUGUAGUUCUCAUAUCCAAGGGUAACCAUUCACUCCUCGAUGGCGAAUUACCCUGUACAGACGGGGAUCCAUGUUUUCCACCCCUUGUUCCAAGCCGCGGCCUGCCGCGGCGUACCCUUCGACCUGAACAAGUAUUUUCAUAUAGCGUUUCUCAAAUGUUAUGUUCUCUCAAUAUAGAUAUACAUAUAUAUAUAUAUAUAUAAGAUCCAAUAAAAUUUCUUUAUUUCGAA